rnacentral:rRNA from 1 species
GACGAACGCUGGCGGCGCGCUUAACACAUGCAAGUCGAGCGAGAACCAGGGCUUCGGCCCUGGGGACAGCGGCGAACGGGUGAGUAACACGUGAGUAACCUGCCCUCGGCACCGGAAUAGCCCGGGGAAACUCGGAUUAAUGCCGGAUAGCCCCUCUGCCCUGCGGGGCGGCGGGAAAAGGUCACUUCGGCCUCUGGCCGAGGAUGGGCUCGCGGCGGAUUAGCUUGUUGGCGGGGUAACGGCCCACCAAGGCGACGAUCCGUAGCUGGUCUGAGAGGACGAUCAGCCACACUGGGACUGAGACACGGCCCAGACUCCUACGGGAGGCAGCAGUGGGGAAUCUUGCGCAAUGGGCGAAAGCCUGACGCAGCGACGCCGCGUGCGGGAAGAAGGCCUUCGGGUUGUAAACCGCUUUCAGGAGGGACGAAGCCACUCGGGUGAAUAGCCCAGAGGGUGACGGUACCCCCAGAAGAAGCCCCGGCUAACUACGUGCCAGCCGCCGCCGUAACAC